AACGCUAGCUACAGGCUUAACACAUGCAAGUCGAGGGGCAGCGGGAUUGAAGCUUGCUUCAAUCGCCGGCGACCGGCGCACGGGUGAGUAACGCGUAUCCAACCUUCCGUUUACUCGGGGAUAGCCUUUCGAAAGAAAGAUUAAUACCUGAUAGUAUGGUAAGAUUGCAUGGUAAUACCAUUAAAGAUUCAUCGGUAAACGAUGGGGAUGCGUUCCAUUAGAUAGUAGGCGGGGUAACGGCCCACCUAGUCGACGAUGGAUAGGGGUUCUGAGAGGAAGGUCCCCCACAUUGGAACUGAGACACGGUCCAAACUCCUACGGGAGGCAGCAGUGAGGAAUAUUGGUCAAUGGACGAGAGUCUGAACCAGCCAAGUAGCGUGAAGGAUGACUGCCCUACGGGUUGUAAACUUCUUUUAUAAGGGAAUAAAGUGAUCCACGUGUGGAUUAUUGCAUGUACCUUAUGAAUAAGCAUCGGCUAACUCCGUGCCAGCAGCCGCGGUAAUACGGAGGAUGCGAGCGUUAUCCGGAUUUAUUGGGUUUAAAGGGAGCGUAGACGGCGGUUUAAGUCAGCUGUGAAAUGGUGCGGCUCAACCGUAGCACUGCAGUUGAAACUGGACGGCUUGAGUGCAGUUGAGGCAGGCGGAAUNCGUGGUGUAGCGGUGAAUGCUUAGAUAUCACGAAGAACUCCGAUUG
rnacentral:rRNA from 1 species